rnacentral:rRNA from 1 species
AUUGAACGCUGGCGGCAUGCCUAACACAUGCAAGUCGAACGGCAGCACGGCAGUAGCAAUACUGUGGGUGGCGAGUGGCGGACGGGUGAGGAAUACGUCGGAAUCUGCCCAGUCGUGGGGGAUAACUAGCCGAAAGGUUAGCUAAUACCGCAUACGACCGAGAGGUGAAAGCGGGGGACCGCAAGGCCUCGCGCGAUUGGAUGAGCCGACGUCGGAUUAGCUAGUUGGAGGGGUAAAGGCCCACCAAGGCGACGAUCCGUAGCUGGUCUGAGAGGAUGAUCCGCCACACUGGGACUGAGACACGGCCCAGACUCCUACGGGAGGCAGCAGUGGGGAAUUUUGGACAAUGGGCGAAAGCCUGAUCCAGCCAUGCCGCGUGUGUGAAGAAGG